ensembl:lncRNA LINC02997 long intergenic non-protein coding RNA 2997
GUGAAGAGGCUGACAGCGGCGUGGCCACCACCCAGGAUGGAGAGAAAGGCACUGUGAGGUGUUAAUGGAAAAAUCCAACUUCCUUUUCUUCCAAAGAUGAUGACUGAAACCAAAGUGGAGCUUUCCCUUGUGAAGUGAAAGCAAAGUUUUAAAAUUUUUUCUCCUCUGCAAGAAAAUAUAUUUCAGAAAAUCUCUAUCUCAAAAAUGAAGCAAUUAAGAACUGUCUGGCUGUGAGGAUCUGGCCUCAACUUGACUUAAAGCAACAACUUCAGUUACAUAUCAAGAUGUGCGUGAGAAUGAACCUGCUCUGCUCAGCCAACGUGCUGAGUGACUUGAUGUUUGUAAUAAAUAAAUAAAUAAACAACAAACAGGUUGUCAUGAAAUAUCCUUUGUAAUUAUAAACACAGGAAACUUUCUGAGAUGCAAGUGGGUGUUAAAUGGUUCAGCAAAGCCAAGCCAGAGCAGUUGGUGUGCUUUGAAAUGAAGCAACAUUGGAAAAAUGAAAUCUACUGAAAGAUCACUACGUGUUUCAAAGGUUUGACUUUUUAAAAAUUUUCUUCAGUUUUCUAUUUUGAAAAAUACAAAGAGGUUUGCAUUUGUUUGUUUUUAUAUAAGCAGCAUGUGUAGGCAACCAUCUAAUAUUUGGCAACUUUAAAAAUUUUUGAGCAAAAGCAACUGUUUAGGAGUUUAACCAUUACUUAAAAAAAGAUACAUGAAAGUUAUUAUGUGUAUGUUCCUGCAUGGUACAUAGGAAAUUACUAAUUGCUAGUUAGUUCAAUUUACUUAAUUAGGUAUUUACUCAUUGGCUAUUAUGUGCCCAGUUUCGGGCUAUGUAAUAUUUUAAAAAUUAGCAUUAUAUAUGUUGCCCUAUCUACACUUUCUGGGGAGCAAAAUUUUGAAAAUCAUUUGAUGUGGAAACCCUUUAAAAAGAACUAGAUUGCAGCAUGUAUUCGAAUUCAAAAUUGAUUUUCAUCAAGUACUAAAAUGUGAUACAAGCCAAACAAUAGGAAUUUUCAGGAAUGAGAAUGGUUGUGCUGUCAAAAAAGAUAAACAAUAUGGAUGACUUAUGAAUAUUUAUGUCCUAUUAAAUUUAUUGAAUUUUGGAAGGCAGAGAUUGCUAAAGCGGAGAUAGUUGACAGCAGAGAAGAGCUACCAGUGAAUUCACGAAUUACAUUCUGGAUUAUUCUUUUUGAAAGAAUAUAUAUUUGGUGCAUUUGUCAUUAGUAAAGUUAAUUAAUCAG